UACGGAGGAUCCAAGCGUUAUCCGGAUUCAUUUGGGUUUAAAGGGUGCGUAGGCGGAAUGAUAAGUCAGUGGUGAAAUCCUCAGCUUAACUGCAGAACUGCCAUUGAUACUGUCAAUCUUGAGUACAUUUUGAUGUGGGCGGAAUGUGUCAUGUAGCGGUGAAAUGCUUAGAUAUACACAGAACCACCGAUUGCGAAGGCAGCUCACAAAACUGUAACUGACGCUAG
rnacentral:rRNA from 1 species